rnacentral:rRNA from 1 species
GAUGAACGCUAGCGAUAGGCUUAACACAUGCAAGUCGAGGGGCAGCACAAGGUAGCUUGCUAUCUGGGUGGCGACCGGCGCACGGGUGCGUAACGCGUAUGCAACUUGCCCUAUACAGGAGGAUAACCCGUCGAAAGACGGACUAAUACUGCGUAUGCUCACAACUUGGCAUCAAGUGGUGAGGAAAGAAAUUCGGUAUAGGAUAGGCAUGCGUCCCAUUAGCUUGUUGGUGAGGUAACGGCUCACCAAGGCAACGAUGGGUAGGGGAACUGAGAGGUUUAUCCCCCACACUGGUACUGAGACACGGACCAGACUCCUACGGGAGGCAGCAGUGAGGAAUAUUGGUCAAUGGGCGCGAGCCUGAACCAGCCAAGUCGCGUAAAGGAUGACUGUCUUAUGGAUUGUAAACUUCUUUUAUACGGGAAUAACAAGAGUCACGUGUGACUCCCUGCAUGUACCGUAUGAAUAAGCAUCGGCUAACUCCGUG